rnacentral:rRNA from 1 species
GUGCCAGCCGCCGCGGUAAUACGGAGGGGGCAAGCGUUGUUCGGAUUUACUGGGCGUAAAGGGUGUGUAGGCGGCCGCGCAAGUCUGGUGUGAAAUCUUCACCGCUUAACGGGAAGAGUGCACUGGAAACUGCGCGGCUCGAGUGUGGUAGAGGCUGGCGGAAUUCCUGGUGUAGCGGUGGAAUGUGUAGAUAUCAGGAAGAACACCGGUGGCGAAGGCGGCCAGCUGGGCCACUACUGACGCUGAGACACGAAAGCGUGGGGAGCAAACGGGAUUAGAUACCCCGGUAGUCC